rnacentral:rRNA from 1 species
GUGCCAGCCGCCGCGGUAAUACGUAGGGGGCGAGCGUUGUCCGGAUUCAUUGGGCGUAAAGAGCUCGUAGGCGGCUUGCUAAGUCAGGUGUGAAAUCUCCAGGCUCAACCUGGAGUCGCCACCUGAUACUGGUAUGGCUUGAGUCCGGUAGGGGAUCACGGAAUUCCUGGUGUAGCGGUGAAAUGCGCAGAUAUCAGGAGGAACACCGGUGGCGAAGGCGGUGAUCUGGGCCGGCACUGACGCUGAGGAGCGAAAGCGUGGGGAGCAAACAGGAUUAGAUACCCUUGUAGUCC